rnacentral:misc_RNA from 1 species
GUUUUUACUGCAUCAGAAGAGUCUUGCAGAGAAAAAGUGUUGCUCAAAAUUAACCUUUUAAAACACAAGGUUCACAAGGAAUAUGGACCCAAAAAUGGCGGUCUAAUGUGAGAGAUGAAGUUCUUCUCAAAAAUACCUUCAUAGUUAAGACUUGAGAGCUAGCUAGCAACCUAAAACAACCACUUCACACGAUAAUGUAUAAUAUAUCCAAGAAAAGGAGAAGUAAACAACAAAGAUGGCAAGAGAACUAGACCAUAAUUAAAGAUUGAAAUACAAAAUGUUUUUAAGUCUUAAAAAGCAUGGUAAGGUGUCACCCUAAUGAUUAAAAUUUUUAAUCACUGAGAGGAUAAACAGCCAUCCCUAGCCGCAAAUUCCUAGAAUUUUAAGAUAUUGAAGCAUUUGAAUGGGACUAAACUGUGGCGGCCAGAAAGUUUUAAUCACUGACUGAUGUUGAUACUACUGAAAGCAUUUUCACCAGCAAGAUAUCAGUCCAGUUUUGAAGCAAUGAACCAAUUGUAAUCAAACAUUACUCAGCUUUUCUAGCUUGCCUUUGGCAGAAUCAAGUUGUUUCUUUCCAGAUGCUGUUGCUUUUUGGAUAGUUGUAAGAAAAAAUAUGUUCCCAUUUUUCUGAUAGACAGUCUAUGUUCAAGAAGAAAAUAUGUUAUAUCCCUGUAUGAUGGCCUCUGAUCAAUGUAAUACAAGAUUUUUAUUUUUCAAAAAAUAAUUAAUACAGAACACUAACAGAAUUGUACGAAUGAAGCAUUCAAGCAAACAUAUUUGGAAAUGCAAAGAUACCAGUAUGCUCUUCAUGCAACCACAGUUAACACCACAAGCUAUAAUAACAAUACCAAAUGUUGUGCUAAUUAGAUAUGCAGCACCCACCUCAGGCAAUAGGACUUUAGAGGCUUUCCUCAAAAACAAAGGUCUAACAUGCAUUGAAUUUGGCCUUAUGGUAAUUUGUGAUAGGUGAACUAGUGGUCCAGAAAAAUUGGUGGAUAAUAGCGAACAAAUAUAUAGAUAGAACAGAAAGGCGCGAAAGACUAGGAGGACAAAGCUUCCAAACAAAGAUAAAUUGCCAAUUUUCUAAGUCACUAAACUGAAGAAAGAGAAAUAUAAUAUCUAUUAACCGAUAAUAAGUUCAAGUUCUUCAUCAAAGGACUCCUAACUAAUCCAAAGGAUCAACAUACAAAAUAAUAGACUAGUGAUAAGAUAGCAGUACAAUAUUUGCAUAAUUCAAUACAGUUCUUAACAAAAUUCCAUUUUCUUGCUAAUGCCCAGUUAAUUUUUCACAAACACACAAGAUAGGCUCAUUCUUAUCCAUAUGCUCUAUAUCAAACACUGAUCCAAUUAACAUUGAUAUUGAAUCUAGAAAUAGGAAUCAAACAAAGAUAAGAACCCACAGAGCAAGAAAAAGAGCAAAAGGCAAGCUUGGUAUCGGAAAUUGGCUAAAGAGCUAACCCGAGACGAUGAAAGAUUAUUCAGCUCUGCUAAAGCAACUUCAUGACUUCGUAUCUGACAGAUUAAAGAAACAAAAAUACCCACAAAAAAUUAAGUAGAUACAUAUGCAAAUUCAAUUGAGAGAGAGAGAAGCUGGAUACCGUUUUUAUGAGAUCAAGUUUCGGGUCUGAAGCAGAGGAGGAGGACUCGGAGGUCGCCGCCAUAGAGGCACAUACGGUCACCUUUUAUCUUUUUGGGGUGAAAAUAAAAAUCCCGUUGAAGCAUUAUAUUUGC